CGGUCUGCCUUGGAUUCUGGUCGCGAUCGGGGCUUUUACUUUCCGUUUCCGUCGUUCACUCUAACGGUCGCUGGUUUUCGGCUAACUGUCCGCUGCGUUACCGUAAAACGCCAAAACGUAACUGAAAACUGAAAACAGAAAACAGCAAACUGAACGAGCAACUUCGAAUGCCUGGAGUCACAUCACAUCACAACACAACACAUCGUCGGCGCUCGUCGGCGGUUAUCGCUCUGCUCGUGCGCAUAUAUAGCUAUAUGAUGGCUAUAUGGCUGGCAAAAUAAAUACGAAUACCAAAUACCAGAUACCAGAUACCUGAAAGCUGUUGGCCGCUGGCGCUUAAUAUCCAUAGCCCGUAGCCCAAAGCCUAAAGCCCACAGAAAAAUGCCCUAGAGGCGCCCUGCGUGAAAGGUGCACGCCAUAACACCCCCCAGAAAAGAAAACUAGAAAAAAAGUGAUGUGUACAUUACUUAAUUGCUGGCAAAUUAUGCAUCAUCCGGACGGUGGAGCAUUUAGGCACCACAAAAGUGGACACUUCCGACGGGCAAAAUUAAAGAAAAUGCACCGAAAUGGCAUUAAUUUUUUCGGUAAACAUUUACCAAGUUUACACGUGCCGCAGUCGCAUGAUCUGCUGAUCAUGAAUGUGCAAUAAGGUCUCGAUUAUCUGUUCAUUUGCCAGGCAAAUGGGAACAACUUGUCGUUGACUCACUUUGUUGUUUAUUUGCUCAGCCCAAUGAUGGGUCAGCUUUGCGGAACAAUUGCCUUAGACAGACACGUAUUUACCUUACGAGAGUGGUUGUUCAAUGAGCCAAAGAUUAAGCGCGUUGUUGCUUUAUGACCACUGCAAUUAAGGCGUAUUUAUAGAUCAAUUCAGUGGCGUAACCAGGAUUUGAUUCUUAAAACCGCUUCUCCUACCUACGCCCCUGGAUCAGUUAUUAAGUUUCCCAACAAAGAGUGCCUCAUAAAUUAUAUAUUUGAAAAAUGAACCACUGAACGUUGGUUUUAUUAAUCUGCUGCGGCUACAAUGUAAUCUCAUUAAUAUUUUAUCAAUACUUCAAGAAAUCGUUUAACUGAUAUUUUGCAAAAGCGUGUAGCCUCUUUAAAAGGUAUGUCAAUACAGAUAUAAAUCUUUAUAACUUUUAAA